AUUGAGGUCGGUCCUGAUUCAUCUUCUCAGUAGACUGCAUCAUGGGAAACGCCUCAUAAAGAAACACUGUAGCCUCGCUUUACCCAUAUGAUCACUUAUUGAGCAUGUGGGAUAAUGCUGCAGAACAAAC
rnacentral:snoRNA from 1 species